GCCGGGGUGGCGGAACGGUAGACGCACGGGACUUAAAAUCCCGGGACUUCGGUCGUAUGGGUUCGAAUCCCAUCCCCGGUACCA
rnacentral:tRNA from 2 species